UCGACAUGGACAGGAAGAAGUGGAGUCAGCCAAACUUUCUCUUCCCAAAUAAUGUCGCCAAUUAAAUUUCCUUCCUUGCACAAAACAUUUAAGAAAAGUAUGGGAGAAGCUGGACACCAUUGCUAAUGCCUGUUGUCCCAGCUACUCUUGAGGUCAAAGAGGAGGAUCGCUUGAUCUAGGAAUUUGGGGCCAUUCUGGGCAAAGUAGCAAAACUGGUCUUAUUAAAGAAACAAAAAAUACUGCAGGUGUUAACUAAGAUCUAAAUAAGGAGACAUCCGUUCUACUCCUGUUUCACUCUCUUAGAGGCCAACAGUCUUGAAUGGGUGUCUUCUUUCUCUUAGGUGUUAGCUAGCUCUUAAACCCUUAUGUGAUGGACAGCUCUGUUUCUAAUAUUUAAUUCUAUAAUGAACAAAUCUGUCUUUAAAUCCCUGCUGCCUCAGAUUUGGCUAUCUUUGACUUAAACCAUUGUGAAAUCUUUUUAAAAUGAAUAAUCAUUUAUUUUUAGAACAAAACAGUCAUAUGGCUAAAAAUUCAAGAUACAAAAGGGUAUAAAGUGUCUUCAAACUGUCUCCAGCCACACAGGCAUUUCUUAUUAUCUGUCCAAAGCGUUUUACUUUUAUAUGUAUCUUUCCCCUUUUUUCAUUCAAACAGCAACUAACUACCACAUUGUCCUGUAUCUUCUUUUAACUGAGUGUAUUUUAUAGAUCUAUUUCUG
rnacentral:lncRNA from 1 species